UGGGGAAUUUUUGGCAAUGGGGGCAACCCUGACCAAGCAACGCCGCGUGGGUGAUGAAGUCUCUUGGGACGUAAAACCCUUUCGACGGGGAAGAAAGGCCGCAAGGCUUUGACGGUACCCGUAGAAGAAGCCCCGGCUAACUCCGUGCCAGCAGCCGCGGUAAUACGGGGGGGGCAAGCGUUGUUCGGAAUUACUGGGCGUAAAGGGCGCGUAGGCGGUUUGCUAAGUUGAACGUGAAAACUCUGGGCUUAACCCAGAGCCUGCAUUCAAUACUGGCAGGCUAGAGUUCUGGAGGGGAUAGCGGAAUUCCUGGUGUAGCGGUGAAAUGCGUAGAUAUCAGGAGGAACACCGGUGGCGAAGGCGGCUAUCUGGACAGAGUCUGACGCUGAUGCGCGAAAGCUAGGGGAGCAAACAGGAUUAGAUACCCCCGUAGUCC
rnacentral:rRNA from 1 species